rnacentral:rRNA from 1 species
GAAACAGUUGCUAAGACUGGAUAGGAAAUUAAAAGGCAUCUUUUAAUUUUUAAAAGACCUUUUUCGGAAGGUAUGCUUAAAGAGGGGCUUGCGCCACAUUAGUUAGUUGGUAAGGUAAAGGCUUACCAAGACGAUGAUGUGUAGCUGGACUGAGAGGUCGAACAGCCACAUUGGGACUGAGACACGGCCCAAACUCCUACGGGAGGCAGCAGUAAGGAAUUUUUGGCAAUGGAGGAAACUCUGACCGAGCGACGCCGCGUGAACAAUGAAGUACUUCGGUAUGUAAAGUUCUUUUAUUGAAAAAGAAAAAAUAGUGGAAAAACUAUCUUGACAUUAUUCAAUGAAUAAGCCCCGGCUAAUUAUGUGCCAGCAGCCGCGGUAAUACAUAAGGGGCGAGCGUUAUCCGGAAUUAUUGGGCGUAAAGGGUGCGUAGGCGGUUUGAUAAGUCUAUAGUUUAAUUGCAGUGCUUAACGCUGUACCGCUAUAGAAACUGUCUGACUAGAGUUAGAUAGAGGCAAGCGGAAUUCCAUGUGUAGCGGUAAAAUGCGUAAAUAUAUGGAGGAACACCAGAGGCGUAGGCGGCUUGCUGGGUCUUAACUGACGCUGAGGCACGAAAGCGUGGGGAGCAAACAGGAUUAGAUACCCCUGGUAGUCCACGCCGUAAACGAUGAGUACUAAGUGUCGGGUUUUGGCUCGGUACUGAAGUUAACACAUUAAGUACUCCGCCUGAGUAGUACGUACGCAAGUAUGAAACUUAAAGGAAUUGACGGGACCCCGCACAAGCGGUGGAUCAUGUUGUUUAAUUCGAAGAUACACGAAAAACCUUACCAGGUCUUGACAUAAUUUUGCGACAUUAUAGAAAAUAUAAUGAAGGUUAUCAGAAUUACAGGUGGUGCAUGGUUGUCGUCAGCUCGUGUCGUGAGAUGUUAGGUUAAGUCCUAAAACGAGCGCAACCCUUGUCGUUAGUUGCGACCACAUAAUGGUGAGCACUUUAGCGAGACUGCCAAUGAAAAAUUGGAGGAAGGUGAGGAUUACGUCAAAUCAUCAUGCCCCUUAUGAUCUGGGCUACAAACGUGAUACAAUGGCUGUUACAAAGAGUAGCUACAACGUGAGUUUUUAGCCAAUCUCAAAAAAACAGUCUCAGUUCGGAUUGAAGUCUGCAACUCGACUUCAUGAAGUUGGAAUCGCUAGUAAUCGCGAAUCAGCAUGUCGCGGUGAAUACGUUCUCGGGGUUUGUACACACCGCCCGUCA